rnacentral:snRNA from 1 species
AUCACUUCUCGGCCUUUUGGCUAAGAUCAAGUGUAGUAUCUGUUCUUAUCAGUUUAAUAUCUGAGAUAGCCUCUAUCUGAGGACAAUAUAUAUGUGGUUUCUCAGGCAUGAAGAAUGAAGGGCAAUGAGGACCAAUA